UACGGGGGGGGUAAGCGUUGUUCGGAAUUACUGGGCGUAAAGGGCUCGUAGGCGGCCAACUAAGUCGGACGUGAAAUCCCUCAGCUUAACUGGGGAACUGCGUCCGAUACUGGAAGGCUUGAAUCCGGGAGAGGGAUGCGGAAUUCCAGGUGUAGCGGUGAAAUGCGUAGAUAUCUGGAGGAACACCGGUGGCGAAGGCGGUUCUCUGGGCCUUACCUGACGCUGAGGAGCGAAAGCGUGGGGAGCGAACAGG
rnacentral:rRNA from 1 species